UGCUUAACCAACUGAGCCAUCCAGGUGCCCCUCAAAGGGAGAGAUUUCUAACUGAACUACUCACAAAACUGAACGUUUUGGGGGGAUUGCAGUUUGCUUCAUAAUGAUGACAACAACUAGCUUUUAUUGAGUUUUCACUAGGUUCUCACCAAGGCUAAGUCCACAUUAGCCUCCUAUAAACCGCAGGAGCUGGAUGUUAUCAUUCGACCCAUUUUUAUGGACGAUAAAGCAGAAUCUCGAGGUUCCAAGGAACUUGAAUAAGGUUAAACAGCUGGGUUGGUGAGAGGGUAGGCUGUUGGCUAGGAGAUUGCUAGAGGCCGUCUUGUCACAAGGAUAGGGCUGGUCUGAAAAUGAUGCCAGAUAGAGGAAGCCAGAACUGGGAGAUCGAGUUUGAGCCCCUGGACCCGGACAUACACUAUUAGAGACAAUCAAUCACAUUAUUUUUUUUCUUAAAUUAAGCCCAUUUGAAGUGGAUUUCUUUGUCACUUACAACUAAAAACGCCUGACUGCUACCAUCUAGAUUCAAACACCAGUCUUGUCACUUUUAUAAACCUUGUCAUUUUGGGUAAAUCAACCAACCCCUCUGAUUCUUGGCUGCUUUCUCCGUGGAGUGGAGAUCACCUCCGUGGCAGGGUUUCCAGGAUAGUAACUGAGGUUAUAGCUGAUUAGUACUGAGCACAGUUCUGGCAACGCCAUGGGAACUUCAUACAGGUAUGUUUUACUGGCAUUGGGAGAGCAGGAAAACGAAAGCCAAAGGAAGCGGGAUCAAAACCAAACUUGGAUGACUGUUGGAGCCAAGAAAACAUUAGAUGUAAACGAGCUGUCUGGACACAGAUAACAGGGAGGGUAGGGAACAACUGGAGAGGAAGUGCCCACUGCGACAACAUUCAAGCUUGAAAAUUCAAAAUCUCUCAGACAAAUUGAGGACGAGGGCUGCCAGUUCACACACCUUGAAAAGCAACUGAAACAUGAAUGUUCCAGAGGAGACCCCAGCUGUGAGCCAGGAAGUGCAGUCGUUCGGUUCGACACGUUCCCACGGAUAAAAGCUGUAGCGAAGGAAGCUCCAUGAUGCCUCCAUCAACAGCCUGCCUCUCCCAAAGCAAGAGAAUCAAAGGGCCUUUGAGUCCAGGCUUUCCUUAAUUUCAAAACUGAACAUGACCACUCUUUAUUUUUAACCUUCCCUUCCCCUAGUCUAUGCCUUCAAGCAGCUUUUCUGGGGAGAGAGUGUUUGCGCCCACACUGGCAAAUCUGAGUCCCUGGCCACGCGCCGGCUGCGACGGGGCUGUUGCCAUGACCACCCACCCCAGCACCUGGAACCCAGCCUUUAGAGGGGCUCACUUGAGAGCCGCAUGAACGGUAAGAAGCGUGGAAUUCAAGUCCCCAAGGGACCUGGCUGAGGGCAAAGGGACCCUCACGCUUGUCCCCUCCUUUGGAAGGAGUGUGCCUCUGCCCGGUUGGAGUGCCUGUGACAGUAGAGAUAGUGAAUCUCCCGUGUGCCGAUGAUCGUUGUGCUUCUGCUGUUAUCACAUCCGCUUCCUGGAGGGGCCAGCAAACUCGCCUAGAGUCUCCAGGCUAAUGGUGGCAGAGCCAGAAUUUGAACCUCGGUGGGUACAAACCUAGCGCUCCAACAUAAUAACCAUAAUGCCUACCGGGAGACAGAGCUGACGUGAAUGUUUGGAGCCACUUGACAACUGUAUUUAUUUCUGCUGAUGAUUAAAGAAUCAAGGCGCCUGGGUGGCUUAGUGGGUUGAGUGACCGACUCUUGAUUUUGGCUCAGGUCAUGCUUCCAGAGUCAUGGGAUCGAGCUCCACAUCAGGCUCUGCACUAAGUGUGGAGCCUGCUUCAGAUUCUCUCUCUCCCACUACCCCUCUCCAUUGCUCUUGGACACAUGCUCUCUCUCUCUCUCUAAAAUAAAAAUUAAAAAAGAAAAAGAAUCAUCUGAUCCAUACCCCAGUUUUCUCUCAUUAUGGCUAGUUUGGUGGUCUUAAACAUGUCCACAAAUUCUUUGACUCGUCACCCACCCAAAGGUAGAGACUAACCCCCUCCCUUUGAGUUUGGGCUGCUUCUCACAAAUAGAAUGUGGCAGAAGUAAUGCCUUGUGAUUCCCAAGGCUAGGUUAGAAAAAGCUACAGAGUGUCCACCUGGCUUCAUGUCCUGGGAUGCCCGCUCUUGGGCCCCACCUGCCAUGCUGUCAGGAAGCCCGGCCACGCAGAGGCCACGUGUGGGUGCUCCCUCGAAGAAUCCUGCUGAGGUCCCAGCCCACGGCCAGCAUCGACACGUGAGUGGGGAAGCCCCUGGGAUGAAUCGAGCCCCAGCCACCAACUAACUGCCACCAGGGAAGGACUCUGAACGGCACCACACAGCUGGUCCCAGGUCAGUUCCCAGAACCGUGAGAGGUAAUAAUAAAUGGCUGGUGUGAGCAACAGUUAGGGUGAAUUAGUUCCUGUAAAAAAUUAUCAGUCUUUGGGCCCUGGCAAAAAAUAAAUAAAUAAAAUAGCAAUGAGCUGUUUGA